ACAAGAGAAAAGAUACAGAAAAAUUAAAUGAAUCAUAUAACAACCUCAUUAAACAAAAAUAGAAAUAGAUAUAACAUAAAUAGAUCAAUUUAAAAUAGUCAACAUAACACCAACAAUAGUCAUAAAACCGAUAAAAAUAAAAUUACAAUUAUCUACAAUUCGAAAACUAUAUUACCGACAAUAGUAUAAUUAGAAAAUAUCACAACAAUGAUAAACGCGAAAUAGGAAAACUUCAUUACCGGUAAUGAUAAAAUAACCAAUAAUGUCAUAUUUAAAAAAAACAACUAUUAACAGUUACAACAGUAUAAUUUAAAACGUCACAUAACAAUUUAAAAACAAUAGUUAAAAAUUACAUAAAAAAAUUAAUUACUGGACAUAAAAAAUGAAAAAGAAAAAGAAAAAAAUCAUGAUCAUAACAAUAUCACAGACAAUAAGAUUUAAACUUUAUAAAAUUGUUAUAAAUUAAAAUUACAUUUCAUAUACUAUAAAAUUUUCCACAUUCAAUAUUUGAGUCUGAGGAUGCUAGCACGGAGGGGCUAGCGAAAUAUCACAACAAUAAAAUAAUUGAAUUGGA